rnacentral:pre_miRNA from 1 species
UGGUGGUUGAUGUCGAUUCAGUCGUUGUCGUCGGCGUCGUGGUGACCGAUGUGGAUUCAGUUGUUGUAGUCGGCGUCGUGGUGG